GACGAACGCUGGCGGCGUGCUUAACACAUGCAAGUCGAACGGAAAGGCCCUGCUUUUGUGGGGUGCUCGAGUGGCGAACGGGUGAGUAACACGUGAGUAACCUGCCCUUGACUUUGGGAUAACUUCAGGAAACUGGGGCUAAUACCGGCUAGGAGCUCCUGCCGCAUGGUGGGGGUGGGAAAGUUUCGGCGGUUGGUGAUGGACUCGCGUCGUAUCAGCUUGUUGGUGGGGUAGUGUCUUACCAAGGCUUUGACGGGUAGCCGGCCUGCGAGGGUGACCGGCCACAUUGGGACUGAGAUGCGGCACAGCCUCCUACGGGAGGCAGCGGUGGGGAAUAGUGCACAAUGGGCGGAAGCCUGAUGCAGCAACGCCGCGUGCGGGAUGACGGCCUGCGGGUUGUAAACCGCUUUCGCCUGUGACGAAGCGUGAGUGACGGUAAUGGGUAAAGAAGCACCGGCUAACUACGUG
rnacentral:rRNA from 1 species